GCGGAACUACAACGCGACAUAUCCAAUUAAUACAGUCUGAUGUCCCAGUCGCUCUUAGCGAGUGCUGCAACGUUCUGAGUAAUGUAUUUGCUGCACACUUUCAGAACAGCAUCCCAACUAUAUUUCCACAGUUAACAAGCACCGAUUUCUUGCCAAUGGACCCUAUUAUCAUUGAUGCAGUUGGUGUCGAAAAACUUGUUGGAAACUUGACAGUGUCAUCAUCAGCUGGUCCAGAUUGCAUUUCGUCAAAAAUGUUGAAGUGUACUCAAGUCUAUUCUUCUUUAAUAUUGUCAAAACUUUUUGAACAGUCAUUACAGACGUCCACACUGCCAUCUGACUGGAAGACUGGGAAGGUGGUCCCUGUGCAUAAAUCUGCCAUUUGAAGGACGCCCUGUUUCAUCCACCUCGCUUCAUAUCACCAAGGAUGGAUCAUCGCUUUAAGGUGGGCCUACCAUCCUGUCGCACCAGACUAUAUAAUGAUUCAUUCGUGCCAAGGACAAGCGCCGCCUGG